CGGAGAUUUUACGUGCACCAACCAGGUCUCUAUAUUUCAGAAAAAACAAAAAAGAGGCCUUGGGAAUCAUGGUGACUUAUUUUGAUAAGGUCGGGGAGUGGGAAACUAGUUGGUCCACCCAGAAAAUAGCCUGAUGUAAUAUGCCAGGAAGAUCUGGAGCUGGGGUUUCUAGGAGUAAGCUCCUGCCUGGAUCCAUGUCUUUUGCGUACUACUUGUUUCCUCGGCUGGGCUCGCCCGCCGACUGGACAACCUACAACUCUCUUGCAAUUGCAAUCAGCGUCUGAAUAAACUAUAAUAGUUACAACUUUCAACAACGGAUCUCUUGGUUCUGGCAUCGAUGAAGAACGCAGCGAAAUGCGAUAAGUAGUGUGAAUUGCAGAAUUCAGUGAAUCAUCGAAUCUUUGAACGCACAUUGCGCCCCUUGGUAUUCCAUGGGGCAUGCCUGUUCGAGCGUCAUUUGAACCCUCAAGCCUUGCUUGGUGAUGGGCGCUUGUCCUCUUCUUUAGUACUUGGACUCGCCUUAAAAUUAUUGGCAGCCGGCAUAUAGGCCUUUGGAGCGCAGCACAUUUUGCGAUCUAAGCCGUUAUUCUGGUACCCAUUAAGCUUGUUUUACCACGUUUGACCUCGGAUCAGGUAGGGAUACCCGC
rnacentral:rRNA from 1 species